GUGAGCCACUGCUUGGCAUGUGGUUGGGUUUUUAAAAUAUUUUAUCUAUGAGGAUGCUAAGUGUAGUUCUCCACAAUUGAGGGCUUCUACCCAAAGAGGUUACAGUGGGGAAGGACUUGGUUUCUCCCUAGCUCCUGGGAAUUUGACUAUGUUCCAGUGAGUAUAUGGGCAAUCCAAAUUGGACUUGAGUUUGAGGGUGGGGGGAGUGUCUACAAGGGAGGGGAACCUGGGAGAGGAGUGUGAUUGGGGUUCAUGAUGUGAAAUUCUCAAGUAAUCAAUAAAAAUAUGUAAAAAAAUUUUCUUUAUAUGGGUGUUUUGUUUGCACAUAUGUCUGGUGCCCAUGGAGAUCAGAAGAGGGUAUUCAGUCUUCUGGAACUGACAUUAACAAAUUUCGAGGUGCCAUGUGGGUGCCAUGGAAGUGAGCCCAAGGCCUCUGGCAGAGCAGCCAGCGCUCUUAACUUCUGCACCUUGUUCCUAGGACCUGGAGUUGUUGAGACAGUGUUUCUAGUAGGCCAGGCAUUUUGGGAACUCACCAGGUAGAUCAGGUUGGCCUCAAAUUUGUAAUCCUCUUGUCUCAGCCUUCUGAGUGCUAGGAUUACAGGAGAAAGGCACUAUGGCUCAAGAAAGACACUUGUAAGAACAAUGUCCUCUAGGGGUUGGGGAUUUAGCUCAGUGGUAGAGCGCUUGGAGCGCUUGCCUAGCAAGUGCAAGGCCCUGGGUUCGGUCCCCAGCUCCGAAAAAAAGAAAAAAGAAAAAAAAAA
rnacentral:lncRNA from 1 species